rnacentral:rRNA from 1 species
UACGUAGGGUGCAAGCGUUAAUCGGAAUUACUGGGCGUAAAGCGUGCGCAGGCGGUUUUGUAAGUCAGAUGUGAAAUCCCCGGGCUUAACCUGGGAACUGCGUUUGAAACUACAAGGCUAGAGUGUGGCAGAGGGGGGUGGAAUUCCACGUGUAGCAGUGAAAUGCGUAGAGAUAUGGAGGAACACCGAUGGCGAAGGCAGCCCCCUGGGUUAACACUGACGCUCAGGCACGAAAGCGUGGGGAGCAAACAGG